rnacentral:lncRNA from 1 species
ACCAUUUUUGUACUUGAGACAGAUGUUGUACUUCUUAUUGUUUUUUUUAUUGUCUAGCUUUAUUUCUAUACUUUGGUGUAGAUGAUAGAACUUUACUCGCUCUGAUAUCAUUAGUUGCUAGUUAUUUCACUUCUCUAUUUGUUCUAUCUCUUGCUUUACUUCCGCUUUUAUUGUAGACGCCUUAUAUGUGUAGACAUAUGGCGGGUCUGGGCACGCUACCGGGAGGGCCUCCGCCGGUCCUGGGGCGUGACAUCAUUAUUCCAUUCUCAUUCAAAAUUCAAUUUCAAAUCCUCAACCAACUGCCAAAAUAUCUCCUAACCAACUAUAUCCACUUCCAAAAUAUCCCUAACUAACCACAACCAACUGCCAAAAUAUCUCCUAACCAAUCACAACAAACUCCCAAAAAAUCUCAUAACCAACCACAUCCACUCGAAUUUCGAAUAUCUGUCCCUCCAACAACCGAUUCAAAAUUCGAUUUCGAAUUUCAAAUCCCUAACCGACUCCUUAAAGUAUCUCUCGCCUAACCCCACGAAUCGCUCUGAUUCGUCAGAUUGCCCCUCCUAUUAUAAAUAUGAGAAUAAAACAAAGAUAGGAAAGAAAAAACAGAUAGAUUGAGAGAGGAUAGCGAUAGAGAGA